AUGGAAGGCCACGGCCAUUUUGGAUCAAAGAAAAGCGCUGAGGUAGAUGAGCUCUCAGAAUGUGAUUUUGGGCUGCCGAAAUACAAGUUUGAUGCCCAGUUUAAUGGGGUGGAGCAGAAUGCUGAGAAGUGCGGCCAUGUAAUAAGUCCAGCUCGUCGUGUGGCAACAGAAGGGAACAAUAGAAGAUUUUUGGGAUGCCCAUAUGAGUGGAUUGAUCCAGAAUGGAAGGGAAGGGAAAAGAUUGUAAUUUUUUAUCUGGCUCGGAAGAACAAGGAGUUGGAGAAUCAAGUUGAGGAGAGGGAAGCAGAGAAGCAGUCCAUGAGGGCGAAGCACAAGGUGGAAAAGAAGAUGCUAGCAAGGAUUCACAGGGAGCGACAAGAAUUGGGAUGA
rnacentral:rRNA from 1 species